rnacentral:lncRNA from 1 species
GUUAUAUGAAGUCAUUGAAGGUUUAAUACUGUUUGGUAAUAUCUUUCUUGUUUCAGGGUCAGUAUUCUUCUUCUUUUUUUCCACCAGAAAUGUUUAAUUUUGAAUUUUAUGAAGUGGGACGUUAUCUGUAGGGAUCCUUUAUUUCUGCUGAAUGUUUUUGCAUUUUGCCAUGUCACCCAGUGCUAUUACUGGUGGUAUUUGUUUCCUUUUGCUGACAUAACCAAGUAUUGCAAAACUUUUAAAACAGACUUAUUAUUCCACAGUUCUUAUAGAUUAUAAAUCUGAAAUGAGUCCUAUGGGGCUGAAAUUAAAAUGAAGGUAAUUCUGCAUUCCUUUUGGAGGUUCCUGGAGAAAAUCUGUUUCCUUGUCCCUCCACUGCCAGCUUCUAGAGGUCAUUGGCAUCCCCUCCCUCCAUCUUCAAAACAAUCUGGAAAGCAGUAUGGAGAGUCCUUCGAAAACUUGGAAUGGAACCACCAUUUGACCCAGCUAUCCCACUCCUUGGUUUAUACCCAAAGGACUUAAAAAUCAAACUACAGGGACACAGCCAUAUCAAUGUUUAUAGCAGCACAAUUCACAAUAGCUUAAUUAUGGAAUCAACCUGGAUGCCUUUCAGUAGAUGAAUGGAUAGGGAAACUUUGGUAUAUAUGCACAAUGGAACAUUACUCAGCAUUAAAAGAGAAUAAAAUCCUGGUAUUUGCACUCCGUAAAUGGAUGAAGUUGGAGAACAUAAUGCUAAGUGAAGCAAGCCAAUCCCAAAAAACCAAAGGCUGAAUGUUUUCUUUGAUAUGAGGAUGCUGACUCCUAAUGGCGAUGUGGGGGGAGCAUGGGAGGAAUGGAAGUACUUUAGAU